rnacentral:lncRNA from 1 species
GAAGAGAAACCAAGGAAGAACAAACCUUAGGUGGGAAAAAUCAAAGAGAAAGUGUUGGAAUUCAAGGAUUUGCUCAAGUAAAGGUAAAAUUUCUUUGAUUUUGCUAGUGACUUACCUUACCCAUGCAUUUUCCCUUAAUUUCCAUUGUUAAAUUACAUGUUUUCAUGAUGAAUUCAUGGUUGGUCAAAAUGGGUACGGAGAGAGAAUGAUCUUGGAUUGGUUUGAUUUUUAGGUAUGUUAGUGUUUUUAGGUGAUUAACGAUGUGUAGCAUGAAAAUAAGUGAAGAAAACCACCAAAGGUUUGGAACCCAUUAAUAGCUGAAUUCUUUAAGUGAAUAAUGAGGAAGAAUGGGAUGUUAUUCUAGGUGAUUUGAUUAAGAAAUAAUAGUUUUUGGUGUAGGAAUUAAUGAAUUAUGGAGAGAAAAUUAAGUAGAAAAAAUCACGGAGUUAGUGUACCAUUGUUGGCCGAAAGUUCUAAGAAGAAAAGUGAAGGUAAAUUUGCCUAAUUGUGUGUUAAUUAGUUGUGCUUGGUGGAUUAAGGAAUUGGAAAAGAAAUGGACCAAGUUGGAGUGAAAUUGGAUGCAUUGGCUAAUUUAUCGGAUGAAAAAUCGACUUAGGCCAAUACCGGGUCUAGAUGGCUACCCGUGCAUUUUUCAUUUCAUAUCAUGCAUAUAUAUAUUGAGCCUGAAAUAGCUUACGACUGUUAGACACAAUUUAAUUGGAAUAUGUGUCAUGGAUUAUGGCUAGGUGGUGAGUCAUUGGAUAUGGGUAAAGGACUGUACUCGCGGACUGAAAAUAAGAGUAUUUCUACUCUUAGAACUGUGAGUAAACCUGUUAUCGUCUGAAUUAUCUAAAAUGGUUUUUAUCUGAUUUUGUGAUUUUAUGAAAAAAAAUGAGUUUAAAUGGUAAAUCUUUAUGUUUUAUAAACAAAAUGUGAUUUAAUAAAAUGAUUUCAUAAAAUUGUCUUGAAAUUGAAUGAUGGCUUUGAAAAUUUGAGUAAUUGGAGACCAUGUGAUUUAUUGUAAAUUAUGAUUUGAAUUAAAUGGCUUGUGAUAAAUUAGCAUGAUUGGCUGAAUUUAUACCUGUGUUGAAAAAUAUAAAUUGUCUGUUUUGCCUUGAUAAAUUGGUUAGUAAUGUAAUUGCCAUGCUAUGCCAUUGAGAUUUGAUUAAUUGGUGGAUUAAAGAUUAGCUACUGCUGUGGUGGGGGGUUACGUGGAGUAGCCUAUUAGAGGGGCACGGUAAACUCCUUUAUAUUCUCACCUCGGUCGUAGAGGCUCGUAGGGUAUCUCCUGAGGUGGGCUUUUUGAGUGCAUUUCACGUUAACCACCGUGUGAGAGUGAGACUCAGCCAACGUUAAGGAACGGCUGUGUGUCAGAUGCGAAAACAUGUUUAUGAGUAUGAGACAUUUAACAGCCUUGGCAGUCUUAGUGGGGUAUCUUGACGAAGGUACCCGCGAGAAUGAUUUUGGCAGGAGCCAAGUUUUGAGAAAUUCACGAGCCAUAUUGAUUAUUUGGUUGAAAUGAAUAUUCGUGUUGUGAAAAAUUUGCUGAAAUGAAUUAUUUUUAAUUGUCUCCCUUUACUCGCCUUUAGAUAGUUUAGAUGGUGUCUGUUUACUCACUGAGAUUAUGUAAUCAUAAUCUCACCCCUCUUCUUAUCCAUUUUUUAGGCUCAGGACAGUUUGUUGAUAGUUGAUUAAGACGAGAAUUAAUCUCGGAGUUUCAUCCUAGAAAGUAAGGAUUCGUAGCCUUACACCUUCUUAGUUAGUUGGGGGCCCACAUGUCAUUGUAAAAGUAAUUUUAUACUUUAGUUAUUUGAUUUCAAGUAUGUACGAACAUAUUUAGGUUUUACACCAUGUUUUUGGUGGGUUUUGGUGUUCUUAAAGAAAAAUGAUGAAAAUGCCCUUGUGAGCCAG